GCCAAGCAGAACACCCUCCGAAACGCUGGAAGCAAGUCAAACUAAUCCAAACAUAAAAGUGUUACUCAAUAAGCUGCUCAAGUGGAUUGUGAUGAAACUCAACUGGCUGGGAGGCCAAGUCACACUGGCUGAAUUUGACCUGAAGAAGGGCUCCGUGCGGCUCAGAAGCUGGUCUCUCUCACCAACAGAAGUUGGUCCAAUAACAGAUACUGCCUCACCCCCCUUGCCCCUCUCCCGUCAGAGAGCCUUCCUCCCGCUCCGCUACCGCGAGCAAUGAUCCGCUUCUGCGGAGCCCAAGGAACCCCAGCACACGACCGGGCCCGCAGAAGACGGCGGCUGAGUGUUCGUGCCUUCGUUCGGCUCACAGGGAACGCUGCGGGUACCAUUUAGCACCUCUUCCGGGCGCCCCACCGAAUGCGAGGCAGAUCAUCCCUCCUAGAGGUGGAGGGCACAGGAGACCAACCUCCGACUCUCAGCCAUUUACUGAAGCACAGAGCAGUCAAGGGGCCGGCUGGAUGUGCUGCCCAAGGACAAGGCUGUUGCUCAGAGCUGUUGAGAUCGGCCUGUGACCCAGACAGCGCAGAUGGCAGGCGCUCUCUGCUGAAGACUGACACAUCGCUGUGGCAUGCAGAGCGAUCAGGUGUGCAGGUCCAGGGAGAUCAGAGGACAGAGGUGUAAAGCCAGAGUCCCUUUCCAACAGCUUGGACAAGAACAAACAAAGGUCAGCGGCACCCAGGGCUGCCAUCCAAAAAUAACUUAGCGGGAUGGGGAGACCAGUCCCUGAAUAGCACCCAGCAAUUGGCUGCUCCAAUCCCGUUACUGCUUUUGGCAGCCAAUGAGAAUCCCCGGCGCAAAGGAGGAAGGGCUGGUUGUGGGAGGAGCCGCUGUCCCUUGGCCCUGCCUCAGGAACGCUUGGCACAAGCUGGAGUUUCCCAAAAAAGCUGCAGGCAGUUAGAAAAGGCAGCAUGAAAUUCUGACUUGCUGCCCUGGGUGGGAGCAGCGAGCCCACGGAGCCGGGACACUCCUGCAGAGCACUCGCACCAGAUGCCCAACAGGUCUCUGGAGGGGGUUUGACACCCCAAGGGCGAGGAGAGGCCAGGGGAUGGGAGGGCAAGUUACUGACAAAUGCAUAAGACAGUGGAAGUUAGACUCAGAUCCCAUCAGUGGACCAGUCGCAGCCUACCUGAAACGGCUUCCUGACAGAAAGCGACCCAGCGGCUGCAGGAUAAGAGCCUGGAGCAGCAGGGUCCAGUGGGUAGGGCACUACACUGGGAAUCAGGAGACCUCAGCUCUAUUCCCAGCCCAGCCGCUGAUCUGCUGGGGGACCCUGGGCAAGUCAACGUAACUCUGCCUCAGUUUCCUCAUCUAUAAAAUGGGCUAAUCGCCCUGGCUGUCCUUUGUGAAGGGCUUUGAAGUCUACGCACGAAGCGCGCUGGGUAACAGCUAAGUAUUAUUAUCUCCUUUCUUACUUUCCUUCUGGUUUAUGAAUAGUUUUUUGUAAUGGCUUCUCUACAGCGCUCAAUAGAGUAUCUGGGGAGUUAGCCAGCACUCUACGACAGAGAGGUGGUAUCCCUGUGUUACAGAUGGGGAAACCGAGGCACAGAGUCGGGAAGUGACUCAACCAAGGUUGCACAGGGUCUACAGCAGAGCCAGGAAUUGAACCCACGUCUCCUGAGUCCCAGCCCAGCACCUCGUUCAUGUGAUCAUCAAUCAGAACAGACCUGCAAGCCCCACAGCUUUCAGCAGUCACCGCAGCUCAGCGGCAUGCUUCUUGUUUUGGCUGUUUAAUGAACUCACUGAUUCCGAGAACCAGCAUAAAACGGGAGGCUGUCCAAAUUAAACAAAAAACAAAAACGCCUAAGGGGGGUGCCUUAAAUCGACAUCUUGGGGGGAAAAGAACUGGCCAAGGAAGGUGCAGUUGUGGGAAGGUGACGCAGAUGAGUCCAACACCACGCUGCCUUCCCAGGCCUCAGGAGUGGGUGAUUCCACGACUCAGUGAAGCUUAUGGACCCUGGUGCAGAGGGAACACUUUCCCCAUCGCUGGAAGACAGCUUCCUCUGGGCUGGAGCACAGCAGUCACCCUGUUCCAGCAAUGCUGCAGCACUGGUGCAUGAUGGGAAGUGGGGAACAACACUGAUUGAGUACAGGGGACCAGCCAUGGUAUCCGGGCUAAAUACUUUAUGUGGCAGCACCCCGCUUCCCUGCGCCCUGCCAAUGGCUUCUGCCCUGUUCAAGGGUGUAUUUCGCUCCUAGAGUGGUGACUGCUGACUGGGCUUGACCUCCAGGCAGCCAUCUAGAGGUGAACGAAAGCCUCCAGGCUCCGUUUGUUUACAACGAACAAAAAGAGGUAUUUCUUCACCCAACGCACAGUCAACCUGUGGAACUCCUUGCCAGAGGAUGUUGUGAAGGCCAGUAUACCAGGCUUAAAAAAAGAUAAGUUCAUGGAG